UACAGCCAUAACACAUUGAAACAGCGGUUCUCGUACGAUCACCGAAGUUAAGAAACGUUGAACCUGGUCUGUACCUAGAUGGGUGAGCGCUUGGGAAUACCAGGUACUGUAAG